rnacentral:rRNA from 1 species
CCGUGAGGGAAAGGUGAAAAGCACCCCGGAAGGAGAGUGAAAUAGAACCUGAAACCGUGUGCUUACAAGUAGUCAGAGCCCGUUAAUGGGUGAUGGCGUGCCUUUUGUAGAAUGAACCGGCGAGUUACGAUUUGAUGCAAGGUUAAGCAGUAAAUGUGGAGCCGUAGCGAAAGCGAGUCUGAAUAGGGCGUUUAGUAUUUGGUCGUAGACCCGAAACCAGGUGAUCUACCCUUGGUCAGGUUGAAGUUCAGGUAACACUGAAUGGAGGACCGAACCGACUUACGUUGAAAAGUGAGCGGAUGAACUGAGGGUAGCGGAGAAAUUCCAAUCGAACCUGGAGAUAGCUGGUUCUCUCCGAAAUAGCUUUAGGGCUAGCCUCAAGUGAUGAUUAUUGGAGGUAGAGCACUGUUUGGACGAGGGGCCCCUCUCGGGUUACCGAAUUCAGACAAACUCCGAAUGCCAAUUAAUUUAACUUGGGAGUCAGAACAUGGGUGAUAAGGUCCGUGUUCGAAAGGGAAACAGCCCAGACCACCAGCUAAGGUCCCAAAAUAUAUGUUAAGUGGAAAAGGAUGUGGCGUUGCCCAGACAACUAGGAUGUUGGCUUAGAAGCAGCCAUCAUUUAAAGAGUGCGUAAUAGCUCACUAGUCGAGUGACACUGCGCCGAAAAUGUACCGGGGCUAAACAUAUUACCGAAGCUGUGGAUUGUCCUUUGGACAAUGGUAGGAGAGCGUUCUAAGGGCGUUGAAGCAUGAUCGUAAGGACAUGUGGAGCGCUUAGAAGUGAGAAUGCCGGUGUGAGUAGCGAAAGACGGGUGAGAAUCCCGUCCACCGAUUGACUAAGGUUUCCAGAGGAAGGCUCGUCCGCUCUGGGUUAGUCGGGUCCUAAGCUGAGGCCGACAGGCGUAGGCGAUGGAUAACAGGUUGAUAUUCCUGUACCACCUAUAAUCGUUUUAAUCGAUGGGGGGACGCAGUAGGAUAGGCGAAGCGUGCGAUUGGAUUGCACGUCUAAGCAGUAAGGCUGAGUAUUAGGCAAAUCCGGUACUCGUUAAGGCUGAGCUGUGAUGGGGAGAAGACAUUGUGUCUUCGAGUCGUUGAUUUCACACUGCCGAGAAAAGCCUCUAGAUAGAAAAUAGGUGCCCGUACCGCAAACCGACACAGGUAGUCAAGAUGAGAAUUCUAAGGUGAGCGAGCGAACUCUCGUUAAGGAACUCGGCAAAAUGACCCCGUAACUUCGGGAGAAGGGGUGCUCUUUAGGGUUAACGCCCAGAAGAGCCGCAGUGAAUAGGCCCAAGCGACUGUUUAUCAAAAACACAGGUCUCUGCUAAACCGUAAGGUGAUGUAUAGGGGCUGACGCCUGCCCGGUGCUGGAAGGUUAAGAGGAGUGGUUAGCUUCUGCGAAGCUACGAAUCGAAGCCCCAGUAAACGGCGGCCGUAACUAUAACGGUCCUAAGGUAGCGAAAUUCCUUGUCGGGUAAGUUCCGACCCGCACGAAAGGCGUAACGAUUUGGGCACUGUCUCAACGAGAGACUCGGUGAAAUCAUAGUACCUGUGAAGAUGCAGGUUACCCGCGACAGGACGGAAAGACCCCGUGGAGCUUUACUGUAGCCUGAUAUUGAAAUUCGGCACAGCUUGUACAGGAUAGGUAGGAGCCUUUGAAACGUGAGCGCUAGCUUACGUGGAGGCGCUGGUGGGAUACUACCCUAGCUGUGUUGGCUUUCUAACCCGCACCACUUAUCGUGGUGGGAGACAGUGUCAGGCGGGCAGUUUGACUGGGGCGGUCGCCUCCUAAAAGGUAACGGAGGCGCUCAAAGGUUCCCUCAGAAUGGUUGGAAAUCAUUCAUAGAGUGUAAAGGCAUAAGGGAGCUUGACUGCGAGACCUACAAGUCGAGCAGGGUCGAAAGACGGACUUAGUGAUCCGGUGGUUCCGCAUGGAAGGGCCAUCGCUCAACGGAUAAAAGCUACCCCGGGGAUAACAGGCUUAUCUCCCCCAAGAGUUCACAUCGACGGGGAGGUUUGGCACCUCGAUGUCGGCUCAUCGCAUCCUGGGGCUGUAGUCGGUCCCAAGGGUUGGGCUGUUCGCCCAUUAAAGCGGUACGCGAGCUGGGUUCAGAACGUCGUGAGACAGUUCGGUCCCUAUCCGUCGUGGGCGUAGGAAAUUUGAGAGGAGCUGUCCUUAGUACGAGAGGACCGGGAUGGACAUACCUCUGGUGUACCAGUUGUCGUGCCAACGGCAUAGCUGGGUAGCUAUGUGUGGACGGGAUAAGUGCUGAAAGCAUCUAAGCAUGAAGCCCCCCUCAAGAUGAGAUUUCCCAACUUCGGUUAUAAGAUCCCUCAAAGAUGAUGAGGUUAAUAGGUUCGAGGUGGAAGCAUGGUGACAUGUGGAGCUGACGAAUACUAAUCGAUCGAAGACUUAAUCAA